UCCAACAUGAUGACCAAGACAAUUUUUAUACAGUUAUCCCUAUCUCAAUCUCAUUGUGUGGAUAUGGUUCUAAUUUCUGAUUUUGGA
rnacentral:snoRNA from 2 species